rnacentral:lncRNA from 1 species
GUGCAAGAGUUGGUAGCGUUGACCUCGGGCACAUCAAAGCCUACUUUCAGGUUUUUCCACCGGGAGUUGGUACCUCCCGCUCUCUUGUUUACUCUGUACACCUUUUUACGUAUUCUAGCUAGCAUUCUGUAUGAGGUUUACUCUGUUGCUAUCUAGUUUGCAUAUUUUUGCGUUCCGCUAUAGUGCGUGUGUGCGUCACUAUUCUCCUUAGUCAGUUGGAGAGAUAGUGG